CCAAACUGGUGAACCCUGGGCUGCCGAAGUGGAACGUGCGAACUUAACUGCUGCGCCACCGGCCAGCCCCCUGAAUUUUUUUUUUUCUUUUGACUCUUGCUACUUACUCUUGGUACUGUGAAUGUGUCUUUAAGUAUAUUCUCAUCACGUAAUUAAUUAAAAUAUGGGAAACCAGUUAACGAGGCUGUUACUUUGUGAAAUAAAACCAAAAAGUUCCUGAUUAUGAGACCAUGCCUCUGUGGCUGUUCAUCUGGUCUGAAGAGCCCUGUGUUCCCUCAGCCAUUUUUUAAAUGAAGAUUUCAGGUGCCUCAUUAUUCUGGGUGUGGAGAUCCUGCCAGAAGAUUAGCCCUGAGCUAACAUCUGUGCCUGUUUUCCUCU